CAGCUAUAAUUUACUUGAUCUUGACACAAUCCUACUUGGAUAACUGUGGUAAUUCUAGAGCUAAUACAUGCAUUAAAGCUCUGACCUCACGGGAAGAGUGCAUUUAUUAGAACAAAACCAAGCGGCUUCGGCUGUUUUCGGUUGACUCAUAGUAACUGAGCUGAUCGCAUGGUCUUGCACCGGCGACGUGUCUUUCAAGUAUCUGCCGUAUCAACUUUCGAUGGUAGUGUAUCUGACUACCAUGGUGAUCACGCGUAACGGAGAAUAAGGGUUCGGCUCCGGAGAGUUCGCCUGAGAAAUCGCGAACACAUCUAAGGAAGGCAGCAGGCGCGAAAAUUACCCACUCUCAGCACGAGGAGGUAGUGACGAAAAAUAACGAGACCGUUCUCUUAUGAGGCCGGUCAUCGGAAUGGGUACAAUUUAAACCCUUUAACGAGUAUCUAUGAGAGGGCAAGUCUGGUGCCAGCAGCCGCGGUAAUUCCAGCU
rnacentral:rRNA from 1 species